AAUAGAAAUAGGAUUUUUGCCAAAAUAUGCUAGCAGACAUGUGGUAUUGCCAUUGAAACCUCCAUCUUCCUUAAUUGACUUACUGGGUCUGAAAGACUGAAACUGAAACUGAAACAAACACCAUCUUCGGAAAGCUGUUUCAGCUCGCAGCUCAAAUGUGGCGCCAAAAUAUACUCCGUCACAAUCACGACUCAGAUCAAAGCAUUUCCGAUGACGACGUAGAUGAGCCAGACGGCGCUUGUCCAAACGACGUCAUUUCGGUAAAAACCUUAAAAGCCUCUGCCGCUGCCUCCAGCAAGGAAGAACUGCCUCUUCCAGUGCGGUUGGAUUUUCUAAAAGUUGUCACAGGAAUCUCGAAUCAAAUUUUGGCUGGGACAAGCAGCAGUUUGUCAAUUAAGGAACCAACAGAUACACCUCCCGAAGAUGAGGUUGAAAUGCCUGAAUUCAAUGAGGGUGACAGCAGUAGCAUAUUGGGGGAGGUAGCUGCCAAUUCAAGUGACGAAGAAGUAAUUCAGGAUGAGGGUAACACUGUCCUGUCGAUUAGAGAGCUUCGCAAGUAUGGUCCUCAAUUCGUCAGACACAAACAAGUUCGAGUUUCUAAUGAAAGAUCUGAAGCAGUGUUACCUCUCAAAGAAAGUUCUUCAUGCUCAGCAUUACAUGCUUCCACCUCCAGAGCAAACCGAUGUGGUGUUUGGAGGAAAGCUAAGUCAAGAAUUUCAAUGUCAUCAUUGUCACACAAAUGUGAGAAUUCUGGUCCUUCAAUGUCUGAUAGAUUGCCUGAAAAGAAAGCUGAUGGACCUUGGGCUUCUGCAACCUUGGACAGUAAUCAUACUGAAGAUAAUGAUGGUGUGGAAUUAAGUUCAGAUACUGAGCCGGCUGAAACAGAAGCCAUUGCACCAGGACCUAAUCUACCCUCAAUGGCUGACCUAUUUGAAAAUCUCCAAGACAAAACACAUCUAGCCUUUCCUGUCUCUACGUUUCAGUAUUUUCCACAUGGUCAAACCAGAGGAAAAAUAGGGCACACUGUUCAGAAGAGGGGUAGAUCCGACCUGCCAGAUAUGAUUGCUGACAGUGAAGACUCCCCUGAUCUCGUGGAUAGUGGAUCAUCAAGUGACAAUGAGGAGAGCGAUCAACAUAUGAGGAUUACUUUCUGUGGAAAGAAAACGCAGACCAUGGCAGAUCGAUUUCAGGAAGCUUUAGGGACUUCGUCUAUUAUUGCCGAAGGGACUCAUGUUGGUGUACAUAAUUCAUUGAGCACAGAGCUGGAAUAUUUGGCAAGCUGCAGCAGGUCAUGCAGACAGAGAAAGAAAGAGAUUUGGACUUUUGGAAAAAGCUACAAUCUGGAGCUAGACCAGAUAGUGAACUUGGCUGCUUUGAUGUGAAAAUCAUUUCAAGAUACUUGGAUGGAAAGCUGACUGUUUGUCAUUGUUCAUUUGGCAAGUUCAGAGAGCAUUUUCUAUCAACAAAUAACAGAGAAAGCACCAUCAUCUUUAGUCCAAGGGUUUGUGACAAUGUUGACCUUGAAGUUGGGAACUUGAUCCGUAUUCAUCCGCCAUGGAAGGAGAUUCAGGUGGGAAAUGACCGUAUGAUAUUGUGCACAUAUUUCUCCCAAAUUUAACCCAUGUUCAGUUUCUUUGACGUCAUAAUGGAAUGCAUUUGAUGUGAAUUGCAUUAUAGUUAGGGUACAUAAACUCCGUCCAAUAUCUUGUAUGUUAUAUCUAGCUUUGUGAAAUAUUCAUUAACAAUAGCAAAUUUUUCAAUUGCUAAUUUGGAAGGAAUCUUGCAAUGUCUUGUUCUAGUGUUCCUACACAUGCUACACAUUCUUCUCUUCAUUCAUUUAUUUGAGACAAAUCAAUGAAUAUCAACUAUUAC